UUUUAUUUUAUUAUAGAAAAAUAUUUACUUAGGCCAAAGUGUUUUCCCAGAAGCAGUUAAAAUGGAAGGACCUGGCAGUUGCCUUGGCACUGGUGAAUGAUUACUUGGAUCUUGUUCUAGACUGGACAGGAGAACCUGGAGAGUGUAACCUAACAUCCCUUCAUCAGCUCCUUAACAAGAGACACAAUCAGGAUGAUCAACUAUUGAUUUGCCUGGUAACUAGAAGAACCAA
rnacentral:lncRNA from 1 species